rnacentral:lncRNA from 11 species
GGUGGCUAGUGCUGAGACUGUAGUAUAUAGGUUGUAGUAAUCCUGUGUUAGUUGGAUGAGGGUAGUAGGUUGGUGGAUGAAGAUAGAGAGUUUGUUGUACAUACGGUGUUAGUAUUUGUACUAUUGCUGCAAUUGAAGAAAGAAAAGCCUUCCAGUUGGAAAGAACAACUUUAUGUCUGUGUUGUUCUUGUUCCUGAAGAGACCACAGCAAGAAGAUCUGAAUCUGAAUCCAGAUUAAGCAAUUCCCACUGCACUCUGGGUUGCAAGAUCUCAAUCAGGUUAAACAAGUUGUCAGAAGCAAAGCCGGAUGGAACAGCCUCAAGAGGACAUUAUAAAAU